CCAACUCUUCCCUCAUGAUCAUUUGCGUCUUUAGGCCCGUCAGCAGAUUCUGUUAAAUGAACUGGCAAAUUGGUGAGGAGCAGAGGAUAUGAAUCUGUAUUAAGCAGCAGUGAGUAGGCAGAGAAGUUGAAUAUCAUGUAGCAAAUAAGUGGGACUGUCCCUCAGUCAUUUGACUCAGGAUUCUAAGCACACACCCCAGGCAGUGCUAGCCUCUUAACAGCUUCCUAUUGGGUGUUGCUUUGUAAAGGGAAGAAGCCAUUGCAGAUGGGAGUGGGUGACCCAGCAUUUCCUGCUACCGAUGACCAAGCAUCGUCUCCUGGAGUCACGUGUCGGUCCUUCAGUGUCCAUGCUCACUCCACCAUGUGUCUAUCAGAGAGAGCAAACACUGGUGUCUUUUCCUGGGCGUGACCUGCAGCCAAGGAAGCCUGCCGAGAGGCAACCCUUAAGGCUUUCCGUUGUGAAUGCAAAGGAGCCUGGAGCUCUUCAUGCUGGGUCCAACAGAGGGUACCUGGCUCUCCAAAACGAUCGCCCACUGGUUUAGACAGUGUUCAGUUCUGCCAGCUCCUGAUUCGACAGAAUCUUACUCUCUGGUCAAGUCAUCUUCCAUUCAUGAUCCUCCUGCCUGUGCUCUCAAGCUCUGGGACACCAGGCAUGCAGCACCAUCACAGCUGUCCCAUUUCUUACAGAAGAUGCAUAACCAAUGCCUCCGCUAAUUCAAGUGGUCAGCCCUGGUGACGUCACUCCCUCUGUUCGCGCUUGCAGCCAUUUAUGCUAACAAUUCUGAUCCUGGAAGAUACUCUGCAUGGUCCCAGAAGAGAAAUAUUCAUCAUUGUCACCCAGCUACAAACCCUGCAGCCUAUGACAGUCACCUGCCUGCAGAUACACUGGAGCAAUAGUGACACAAAUGUUAUGGGAGUCACCAACCACUUUCUGAUUGGAUUUAAGGCCUGAUUGGAUUGGAGAUGGAACCCAUAAUGGACGCUGUUAAAAUGGCUAAGAACCUGAGAGUGGGGAGGUCAUGAGCCUAGGGGAAAAACCUACCACUGUGAUCCUGCUAAAGAAGUGCAGCAGAUUGUGAGUAAGCGUACAAACGAAGACAGUAACUCCAGAAGUGCGGAGAACGAAGUCAAGGGAUGUGCUGAAUGUGGGAAGGUGACACUGGUGAGGAAGGAAUCAGGUUGCCAUCUAUGGAGUAGAGCAUGGCAGUCGUGAAGACAUCAGGGGAGAGACCGCUCCAGCAGCAAAUGCAAGGAUGCUAGAUUUACUGUUUAUUUAUGUGUGUGGGCACACGUAUUUACAUGGCGAGGAUCCACACAAGCAAGAGGAAGGCAUAGGAUCCCCUGAAACUAGAGUCGCUGUUGGUUGUGAGCCACCUGACACGGAUACUGGGAGAUGAAUUCUCACCCUCGGCAACUGCAGCAAGGGCCUUAGUCACUCAGCCAUUAUUUCUAAAAGAGUUCUCAUAAGGAAAUCUAAGUCAACCCCCAGCUUUGACAGGUGAAGUCCUCUGGGAGGCUAGCUGUUCCAGGAGCCAGGACAACACUGGAAUGUCCUUCCAAACCAAGACCCAAACAGCUGAGGAGCUCCAGUUACCCAAGAUGGGCAGCAGCUUUGCCCUCAAGCUGGUGUGAACAUUCCCGCCCAAGGCCUUUAAUCUAUGUGUAAGUGAAGAAAGAAACACACAAUCUUGGGUUUUGGUCAGAAGGGCUAGUUUGAAGAUCCUCUCAUUUCACCAAAGGAUCCUCAAAUCUGUUUUGUUUUUUUAUAAAUUUAAUGUGUGCAUGUAUGUGUUUGCCUGUGUGUGUGUGUGUGUGUGUGUGUGUGUGUGUGUGUGUGUGUUAUGUUUAUGUGUUAUGAGUCUGUGCAGGAAUACUGUGGCACAGCAUGUGUGAGAGUCAGAGGUCAGCUCCCAGGUAUCUAUCUAUCCUCUACCUCCAGUAUGGGCUCCAAGGAUUGAACAAAGGUAGCUAGCAUGCAUGCUUCCACCCUCCAAGGCAACCGGGCAACCCCUUUCAUAUCUUUCCUCCCAAAUUUAAAAACCAGGAAACCUCUUCGUCAAACCCAUAAUUGUGGAUGAUUUAUUGGCCAAAUCUCAAGGACCUUUCUCAUCCUGAGGCUAAACUGAGAAGACAGGGAAUUCAUCUCCCACCGCCACCCCAACCCCAUCUCAUUUAAGGGCACUACCUGUCAAUUUAGACUGCAUUUAUAAAAAGAGCAAAAUUAAUGGCCUUACUCAAAAAAAAAAAAAAAAAAAAAAAACCUCAGUAAGUAGAAGUAAGUAGAGAGAUGGAUUGAAAAUCCUGAGUCCUUGUGAACCCAAAGAGACAAACGUAGCAUUUAAUCUAAACUGUGCCCUCUGGCGUCACUUUCCAGGCACUCAGUGGCACCGUUUUUUUCCUCCUCUUCUACAUCAACUUCAGUGUCACCUCGGCAGAUUCCAGGUGACAGAUGGGCAGCCUCAUUUUAAAAGUCUUCGGUUAGGCUGACCUGUGGCCUUUCCAGAAGAGUGAAAUAAAUCACCCGGCCCUCGUGUCCUCCUUCCUCACUUCCUGAGAUGGGUGCCACCAAAGCUUGACAGACCCCAUGAGGAUCAACCCCUGCCCAGUGCCUGUGGACACUGCAGUUUCUCCCACUAUUUGUGCAAACCACGCCUACCAAGGCUCUACAGCACCUGCCCCAGACCUUCCCAAGAGCACUCAGCCCUGGGUGUCCCCAGAGGAGAUGCGAGCCCGCAGUGUGAUAGACAGCUGAAGUAAACUGAUCUGCUACUAAAUCCAUAGCAAUUCAAUUUAAACUCCACGGGGUUUAUUGCUGAGAACAGACACAGCUUAAACAGUAUUGUGAGGAGCCAUUUAAAAAAAUUAUUAAGGAUCUAGAGGGGUAUGUGUGAGGAUGGAAAUGUUAGAUUAUGUGUGAAAGAGAGGGCUUGGGAGACAGUCGUGGACUGCUAGAGACCAUUGCAUUACGUGAGCGUUAACUUUGGAGUUGUCCCUUUAACUCUAGGGGUCUUACUUUAUCUACCUGGAAAGUAGAACAGCUGAGCCUGCUCAGGGACUGUGAGCCCUGUCUUCACCUUUGAAUCACCUGGGUAGAUCUGCAGAGUAAGGGCGCCUGGGAUCUUCACCCAAUCAGCUCAAUGAACAGCCAAGGGGAUGGGUCCAGGCUCCAGGUUCUGACGCCUUCCCAAAGUUCUUUCAGUGGUUGUGAUGUGCAGGGAGGAACUGAAAGGCACUGGCCCAGAUGAUAUCUGAAGUUUCUGACAGGCUGAAGAUUGACUGUAAACAAGACAUGGUGACCGUGGAAAGGGUGGGUGGCCCUUUCAGGUGCAGCCAGACGAGACUGACAUUUACCUGUGCAUCAGGCCUGGAUCGCCACUGGUCUGGAAGCUUCCUGGUAGUACAGACUGUAUUUUGCCAGAUCCUGCUAGGCCGUUUGGUAUAAAGUACUCAGUGAGAAGUUUUCACGUUGCUUGGCUAGAGUGCGUCUUACCGGAGCACAUAGGAGUGAUCAAAUGAUCAAAAUUGUGUUGACGGUUACCAAGUUCACACAUAAUUCACUUAAACGGGCUAUCUCUAGGUCCAAGAGGUAAAAUUAAUCUCCAGUCUAGAGCAUCCCUUUCCUGGCCCAUGAAGUCAGAAUGUCACUUGACAUGUCCAUAAGCUUUCUGCUAACUCAUACCCCAAGUAACCAAGCUGAAGUAAAGAAAAGCAGCUUAUUUGACUUCAGAGUUUAGAGGUUUUAGCCCAUGAUUGGAAAACCCAUUGCCUUGGGGCCUCUGAUGGUGGGGGUAGGGGACGGCACAUCAUGGCAUGAGCACGAGUGCGGCACAGCAAAGCAUCUCACCGUGUGGCUGGGGUAUAGAAGCGAGUGACAGAGAAAGGGGCUGGUGCACCUCCAGCAACUGUAAGACUUCCCCCAGGUCCCACCUUUUCAGAUUCUCCCACUUCCCAGUCGCUACUGUGCUGGAGAGCAAGCCUUGACUAUGUGGCCAGUAGGGUCCGUUCUCAGUCCAAACUGAAUCCCUGAGGAAGCAUAGAACAUAAGCUAGCUAUGCUAAGUGGACAUUUUUAUCAAGCUCUGAAGAUCUGUUGGCCAUUUCCACACUCAGGGCCCAAUCAUUGAUCAGGAGACAGAACGGCCUGCUGGACCUCCCAUGACGCAGUGACCAGCUUCGCUUCCCAAUGUCUCUUCCCAGAUAUUCACUCAAGUGACCACCAUGCCCCUGCAUUUACUCUCCCCGUUACCACAACACACAGUAUCCCGAGUGUCAGCUAUUUUGCUGAUUGCUGAUGGCACAGGAGGAGAAGCAUGUUAAUCUCCUGGGUAAGGUCACCCCAGAGCACUCUGCAAGACAGCCCCUUCUGGAAAGCCGUCUUGUGCACAGUUAAUCCCUUCCUUCUUGUAGGUCUGCUUACGGAGGUGACACCUGCUGACCUUGCGUGUUUGAGAGCCACCUAUUUUGAGGGCUGUAGUGCUCUCUGCUCACCACCUACAAUUACCAUGACUAAAAAUACUUCAGAGUGAGGAGAGUCUUCAAGGGGACUUGGCGCCUGGACUACCCUGCUCCUAUUUCGGUGCUGUGUCUCAAGGCCACAGCCUGGCUAUUGCCGAGCCACACAUCACCAGUUAAGACAUUGCUCUUCAGAAUUCAUGGCGGCCUUGUGGCUAGGUCUCUUCCCCCAAAAAAGCUACCCACUAGUGAUCUUCCAGAUAAUCCCCUCACAACUUUGCCACCGUGUGCAGAAACAGCAUUUCACAGACAUCAGGCAAGCAUGCAUAGCCAUGGUGACAUAGCCACAGCUAAAGGGAUCCUUCCACCUUCAGUGGUGUGACUGAGGAGCUACCUCAGGCCAUCGUGUGAAGAGAAAUAAGCUAGGUGAUGCAGGGCAACAGUUUUCACAGGCAUCAUGCCGGUGUGGCAUCUUCUCUUAGGA